CGGUUUCUUCGAGGGUGGUCGGCUCAUUCCCUAUCGAAAGGGGGUGGUGCUGUAUUACAGUUUUUGAAAGCUUAAUGCUAGCAAUAGCUUUUGCUUCCUUAAUUAUUGCAGUGCUGUCAUUUAAUCACAAAAAAUAAUCCACCCUUGAGUUUAGCAACUUAAGUGGAUUAUUUUCGCUAUACUGCUGACCCCUUAAAAGGGAGCCUUGCUAUUGACUUACCGUUCGUGUGACAGCAC
rnacentral:sRNA from 1 species